ensembl:lncRNA
AUAUAUAUCAUCUCUUACCUGGUGGAUGUGUUGCAGGGAUCCUAAGACUACGGAGUGAACGGCAGGAGAGGAGAUAGGGGCAAAAAAUAUAAUUCUCCUUCCGUUUGAGAAACAUAAAAAGAUCUUGAGAUUACUCAGAUGCUAAGAAGAGACUCAUGGAUUUUGUGUAAGGAGGAUAAAUUCCUUUACCACUCUUAGAACUGAAUAAUGACAAGUGCCUGUGUGAAAUUAUUUUUCCAGAAGUGAUGAGAAAUUUACAGCAGUGACAACGCAAAUGGAUGGACACCAAUCUGAUCAGGAACAGCAAUGUACUCUCAGCAAAGAAGGCCAAGAGCCUCCAGCAGCAUUAGGCAGGGAGCUGCCAGCAAGCCAAGUGAACGUUCCCCUCAGCUCAACUCAGAUGAGACACAUCCAGAGUGCUGGGUCCUUUGCUGAGAUGAUGGGAUAUACUGGUUUGACUCCAGCACAGGGCCAUAAGGAUCCAUUAAGGGCUCAGAGCAUCUGAUAUGUGAUGGAAAGCCAAGAGAACUGGGAGUACAUGGCCUGGAGCAGAGGAGACUCAAGGGGAUUUUAUCAGUGUGUGAAAGUGGAGGACAGAAAAGAUGAAGCCAUUCUCUCUUUGUUUGUGCCCAGUGAUGGGGCUAUGUGCACAAGCUGAAAUGUAGAAAAUUUCAUUUCCUAUGUUUCUUCAAAUUACAUUCCUUCAAACUAAGAAAAAUCUCUUUUUCUGUGAAGAAUUUCCAACACUGUAACAGUAUGUCCAAGAAACUGUUGAAAUCUCAUCCGUGGAGCUGUUCAAAACGUGACUGGACAUAGUCUUGGACAGUCUGAUCUGUCUGACCCUUCUUUUUCAGUGUUGUUGGAUCAGAGGAUCUCAGGAGGUUACUUUCUGCCUCAAAGACUCAGUGAUUAUGUGACUAUCAUACGAUUCCUCAGAUACAAGAGAAAUAAAGCUUUAAUUCUUUCUGCAGUAGUUUCCUUUCUCUUAGCAUCCUGGUUGCCUCGGGAACCUUUCCCCCCUAUUGUCUGACUUCUAUGAAGCUACAGAUAGCAGCCAUGUGGGGUGUUAAGAGGCAUUCUUAGUUUUUUUUUUUUCAUUUACAUUAUUUGCCAACUAAAUCUCCACUUGAAAACAUUUAAGUACAGGAAACAUGAAAGUGUUUAUUCCUUUUUUUUUUUAGUUCUUAAUAGAAUCCUUGUUGUGAAAUUACAAACAGUAGUGUAUAUAAUGAUCAGCGUGAGCUCUUGAGUUGCCUUUUGUACAUACAAUGAGUUUGAAAAAUAAUAGUAAUUAUUAAUAAGCUCCAGGAAAACUGGCAAUUAUUAAGGGAAAAAAAAAAAAGUAAAGAAAUAGGAAUUACUCUGAUUCAGUCUAGUCAUACUAUGUAUUAGGAGUGUCACUUUAAAAAGUUACCCUUAUCAGUUGAGGUUGUCCAUAGCAUCAAUACUGAAAUAAUUUGGGGAGUCUUUUAGCAGACUUAUGAGAUAUCAGAACCAAUAUCCAGUACUUUUUGUUUGCUCUCUUGAGAUACCUCUAACUAGAGUAGUUGCUCAGUUCACUGAUGGGGUAGGGCAAUCAGCCUUAUCUCAUGUCAUGUAUGCUGCUGUACAAUCAAACUAUUUUCAGGGUGAUUUUCAGGCCAAUAGUUACAGUCAAUCUUCACAAUGAUAUCGAUAUCACAAUUCAUUUUCAUUAUUUCUAUGUAUUGUUUUUUUAAUUUUCCCACUUUUUUUUUUUUCUUAAGCUCUUUGGAUGAGUUGUUUAUUGUCCUCAUGGUAUUUUUCUUUAGUGGUCCCUAUUAUAAUGUUGCUUUAACAUCCUUUGAUACCCAUAAAAUAUAUAAUUUGACUG